rnacentral:lncRNA from 1 species
UCUAUGUGUAAAACUUCUUAGGCUUUUGUUCGCUUUUUAGCCAUUCCUUUGGAUAAAUAAAAGUGCGGUGGCGACUCGAUUCUUUGUAUACUUUGCUUUUGGUUUAGUCAAUAAAUCAUAAAGUGACGAAUACACCGCUACACUGGGUUCAUGGUUUGUUCAUAGGUUUUUGUAUGGAUUUUAUUCCAUUAUAUGUCUCGAUUCACUCCAUUUCAAGUAACCUGGUCAUUUCUUA